UACGUAGGGUGCAAGCGUUUGUCCGGAAUUAUUGGGCGUAAAGAGCUCGUAGGCGGUCUGUCGCGUCUGCUGUGAAAACUCAGGGCUUAACCCUGAGCUUGCAGUGGGUACGGGCAGACUAGAGUGCGGUAGGGGAGACUGGAAUUCCUGGUGUAGCGGUGAAAUGCGCAGAUAUCAGGAGGAACACCGGUGGCGAAGGCGGGUCUCUGGGCCGUAACUGACGCUGGAGGAGCGAAAGCAUGGGGGAGCGAACAGG
rnacentral:rRNA from 1 species